GGUGUAUUUUUGGUUAAAUUAUACAAUGUUCGCCGUCAAAGUCAUUCAUAUAAACUGCCUGUAAUGUGCAGCAAAUAGUUAACCGGCGCCAGCUCUUCAGUGACCUUAACGGGUCCGUACCUCUCGUACAGAUGCUACGGGUACGGGUCCGUACCCGUAGCAUCAACCUUUUACAAUAUUUAACUCAAAAAUUUGCCUCGUCUGUUUUAAACAUUGAAGAGUUCGGCACUGGAACAGAAUUUUCUCUCAAAAUGUUAUUUUUCAAUAAAUGAAACAGCAUUAGAAAGAUUUGUUUGGGUGAACUGGGAGUAAGGUCUAGGCAGUGAUGUAGUGCAGGUAUACGUAGGUAAACACAAGAUAACUACUUUAAGCUUUCUAUGAGGGAGUGAGCCGUAAAAUACACUUAUACUGCAGAGUAAAGUGGCAGAACAAUGGGUUUCACAGAGAUUGAAAUUCCACAUUUUUGGCACACAUGGAAAAUGUGCACUAGCUGCAAUUGUUUUACAGCACAAAAAUGUAGUCAUAUGACAAAACAGUCUAUGAUAUUGGGAGGUGUAUUGCAAACUGAGGUGUAGCUCAUCACCCUUGCAACCAAGAAAGCAGCUGGAGAUGUGGUUAGCAUUUGCAAAGAUAUUUUAAUCCAAAAGAUGAUACUUUCCCAAAACUAGCCAAGUAUUUUUGGUGCCUAAAGUUUAACAAGUAGGUUUGUAGCAUAAUUAAAAGCAAUCAGCAACAGAGUAUGCAACGAAAACUCAACUUCGAAAGUUGAAAAUGGAUUUAUUAGACCAACACCAUCUUAUAAGUUGUGAAAAUGUGAAACUAACUCGGGUAAAUGAUCAGCUCGUCACUAAAUUCCUUUAAAUUUGUGUUGAAGCACCAUAUGUAAUCAAAUGUACUGACCAUCUUGCCAUAGGAAUUCUAGGUGAAAAUCAACUGCCUGGCUAACAGUGGUGCAUUAAUACAAAUAUUGAUUACUGUGUGCUGCCCUUAUUGAUAAAGAAAGUGUUAUUUGAAAUAAAGAAAUGACUUUCCACCACUGAUUUCUCCUGACAUACAAAGUCUUAAGUCUGUCACUGCAGGAUCUGGUAAACAUCUUCUACAAAUUCAAUUUCAGUCCAGACAAGCCUGGAAACAGACCCAGAUAUAAGGAAGGACAGCACAAAGCAGCAUUGUUUUUGAAUCUAAUUUUGACGGUGACUGAGUUUGUCAGCUCCAUUAUGUCUCGACAGAUGAGCAGUCCUCGGUAUGUUGGAGAUGUCUCACCAUUAGCAGCAAACGAGAUAGCACAGGAUGUCAUUUUUUUGUUGUCACACAUGCUCCACACCUCCCGCCUUCACCUUCACAUCCUGCAACUUUAAAUUGAGCAUGUACGUACGCUAAAGGACUCCUCCGAGGUUUUCCUGUGAAUUCAUUUGCAUUACAGUCUGGAUGAAGACGGGAACGUCUGAUUGUUUGUAUCUGGAGCAUCCACAUUGAUUCACCAGUAAAAGAAGCAGACAGUUCCUGUUAUUUAUGCUUCUAAAAUAGACCCGGUGAUUGUUCAGGGACAUUGUGAGCCAAAACGAGGGCUGUUUGCUGUUCUGUCUCCUCAGGGGAGUAUUCAGCUGGUUAUGAUCAUAUCAGAAGGUGAAUUGGGGCAAAGCAUCAGCACUGCAACACAUUCAAAAUCAAAGUUAUGGCCUGAAGUGCAUCAGAAAGUGAUGGAUGAACCAACAGACUCAUAUUUCCAUCUACAGCGUCUCAUCAGUCUUCUGAUUGCUUUAAAACAUCCUAAAAUGAAUGAAGCCAACACAAUACACGUGUCCUUAUACGACUGACAGGCUUCAUUCUGUAUGUAGCUGCACAACAAUGUGAAUAUAAUGUGGGCGUUUGGCAUCUGAACACAGGCUGGCUUGUAUUCUUUCAAAUACUGGUGCCAUAUUUUUUUUGCUACAGUGUUUUAAAUCAGGUUUUGGUACAAGAGAGGAGCAAAGUGUUGCAAUUAAGUCGUCCCAUACUUCUGUUUUCUCAACACAUCUUGGCAAACCAUUUGAAUCCACUAAAAACCACCUUUAGUGUCACUUUUCAACACGUAGGUUAGUUUGAUGAGUGUACAAAAUCCUUAAAUGUCAAAAAUCGACGCCAUGAGUUUGUCACAGCUUAAGGCUGUGGGAGUGUUCUCUCUCUCUCUCUCUCUCUCUCUCUCUCUCUCUCUCUCUCUCUCUCUCUCUCCCUCUCCCUCUCCCUCUCUCUCGCUCUAUCUCCUCGGUCUGUGCAAUGUGUGAAGAUGGCAGCAGGUGUGGCUUGUGGCAAUCAGCAGAUGAUACGCACCUGAUUGCUCACUCUGGCUUCUCCAUAAAAGCAGACUUCACCUGUCAUUUGAAGCUGGGCCAUCGUCUAAUCUCCAGGCAGUGCUGGGAGUAGAACUGUCUUUGCCGCUUGCCCCAGAACUCACAGUAACCCCACAGCACUGAGACGGCUCUCAUCAAGAAAGCUGACGCCUGCCUUCUGUGGCUGCCUGGGUUUCCAUCCUCGGCUGAUUCUCUGUUCCUCCAAGGAUUCCGUUCAUUCCAGAAGAAACCCACCUUUCACCAGCUUCACCUGGGAAAACAACCGCCCUGCACCUAAGACGUAACACCACCUGGGACACCUGCCUCCUCCUCAACCCUCAGACACCAAUUCACCAACUUGGUGUUGAACAUCUGGGAGCUUGUGAGCUGGAUAAAAUUGGGCUCAAGUUGGGCUUUUCCCCAGAUCAAAUCGGCUUAGGUUUCGAGCCCUAGUAACACCAGGCUAUUAGUUUAUGCAGUUGUUUUACACGAUGAAUUUUCCAAUUCGCGGUCCGAGUUUUUUUGUUUUCUGUUUUUUGUAUUUUAUGCUCAGCGUAGAAUAGUCAUUAGUCUUGGGUUUUGUUUCAGGUGAUUCAGUAGUCUCGGAUUUUGUUUAGUUUUGUACUUUUGAGUUAUCCUGCCUUGGUUGUACCAUACGUGGGUUAACCGUAGCUUUAUUUUCCAUCUGCUUGUAGUUGGUUGUCCAACCCUCUAGUGGCUUUCUUGCCCCGUUCAACCUCUAACAGUCAGUUCAUUUUUCUGUUUCUGGGGUAUUGGUUCUGGGUUAUAUUUGUGGUGUAAAUAAAGAUUGUUAAACCUU